rnacentral:rRNA from 1 species
AUUGAACGCUGGCGGCAUGCCUUACACAUGCAAGUCGAACGGUAACGGGCCUUCGGGUGCCGACGAGUGGCGAACGGGUGAGUAAUAUAUCGGAACGUGCCCGAUCGUGGGGGAUAACGAGGCGAAAGCUUUGCUAAUACCGCAUACGAUCUACGGAUGAAAGCAGGGGACCGCAAGGCCUUGCGCGGACGGAGCGGCCGAUGGCAGAUUAGGUAGUUGGUGGGAUAAAAGCUUACCAAGCCGACGAUCUGUAGCUGGUCUGAGAGGAUGAUCAGCCACACUGGGACUGAGACACGGCCCAGACUCCUACGGGAGGCAGCAGUGGGGAAUUUUGGACAAUGGGCGCAAGCCUGAUCCAGCCAUGCCGCGUGCAGGAUGAAGGCCUUCGGGUUGUAAACUGCUUUUGUACGGAACGAAAAGCCUUCUUUUAAUACAGGAGGGUCAUGACGGUACCGUAAGAAUAAGCACCGGCUAACUACGUG